UUUUGCGAAAAUUUCAAGAGUACUGCAGCGGAAGUUGGAGAGAAGAAACAGCACGCUUUCCAAACAAAUUAACCCAAAAUAACGCAAAAGCGGAAGCAUUAAAGGCCACACCGAAUUCCCGCUCAAGAAACUUCAAACCAGACAACAAACAAACUCGGGAUAACCACUACUAGACUGUUUUAUGCGUUCGAGGCAGGCACUGAUCUGGCUCUGGCGUGUUAACUUAACCCGUGAAAAGUCGGCUUACGACUGGAAGCCUCCAACGUGAAAAACUUCAAUUGAAGCGGCUUCAGGCCCAGUCGAUCGGUAGUACAUAUGUACAAACAUACAUAUAUUCGUAGUAUGUAUUAUGUUCCCUCCACUGCUGGCGUCAGUGAAUGUGACCCUUUCAAGUCGCCCUCUGACCAUGGCCGGGUUUGGGGUAUAUUCGGCCAUUCGGACAGUGAAAACGAUUGUUCGGAGCCCGCUAACCAUAUUGCAAGGUGUCUGCGCAGUGGUUAAUUAAGAAAAGCUUGUGUAAUUGCAAGAGGCAUUACCCAGAAAUGUGGCAUGGACAAAAUACGCGAUGGCUUGUGGAUGGUAAGCCAGCAACUGUUGGGCAAAAAUGCGUGCAACAUCAUGUGAAAUUAAAGAUGAAAUGGCAACAGUGAACUUUUACCCAACUAAUGUUGUUUGUGGAUUGGAUUGAUGAUCUAGAAGCUUGUGGAUGAUAUGUGACAAGUUGUGGAUGAUAACAUGGAGUACAAAUAAAGGAUAACUUUGCACACCAACUUUAUGCUAGAGGACCUUUGGAGGAAUAUGCAGGUUUUAAAAACAAGGCGCUUGGCAGUUAAUACUUCUUACUAAUUAAGUAGCUCAGUAUUUCUAUUUUGUAAUAUAGAUAUAGAAUAACAUUCUUAAAUCAUUUUUAGAAAGUAAAUCAUUCAAACAAUAA
rnacentral:sRNA from 1 species